rnacentral:pre_miRNA from 1 species
UGGACUCGCCCGAGCUAGGCAGAUGUUGGCAUAGCUGAAUGCAAAUCAGAAAUCGAAAUUCGAAAAGUUUGAAUUUCGCGCGCUCAGCUUCGCCACAUCGUGCCAUGCGUAGGCUUGAGACCA